rnacentral:lncRNA from 1 species
AUAAUAUUGUAACUUCUUUUAUAUCCCUUAUUUUUCACAAUGCUCAUAAUCAAAGUUUGCAAAUUACUUCGCAUCAGAAACAUACAAACAUAAGAAAAUAUGGUAAUUUAAACUCUGCUUAAAUUGAUUAAUUCCUGCUAGACGGACCAGACUAACUAGAAUUUCAGAUUUUCUUAUUACCUUUCUGCGCUUCUUAAUAAAUAAUAUGUUUUAGUAUAUUAAAGGGGUUAAAAAGAGAAAAGCAAUUCAAAUCUGUUGUAUUUUAAACAGCCAUUCCUUUAACCUUUUCCUAGCUGUUAAUGUUAUUCCCAUUUCCAUCUUUAAUUGGCAUAUCAGUUGUUCUUUAACUAAUUCUCCGCAAGGAACCUGAGUAGAUUUCCAUUUUCUUGCCACCAAUAAUUUAGCAGCCAACUAUAUGUGUAUAACCAGUGCAGAGAAUUGCCCAAAUAUUUGAUGUAUAUUUAGAUGCAAUAAAAAGAUGCUAGGGCAGGGGUCAGCAACCUAUGGCACGUGUGCCAUUCACGGCACUCGAAGUGCUUUUGAACGGCACUCAAGGCUGCUAAUGACAAACAGGCUCUGGCCUAUCAGGAGUACCAGUGGUACUUCAGAUAUCUGCUAGUGCAAACCCGAGCACAUUGCAGCAAAAAGAGGAAGUGAUCACCGGUCCUGUCCUCCCAGCUUUGGUUAAUGGGAAUUUGCUCUGGAGUAGAGGUCCUGCCCUUAACCUGCACCUGGCCAACCUGGUUCCCACUGGGCCCAAGUGAAGCCACCCACAAAGAUAGAUAUACACAGAGCUGCAGAAGAUGCCUCUACUUACCAAUAAUACAAAAUAAUACAAACAGCUCACACAUAAACACACACUCAAUCCCCAUAAACAAAACACCAACCCACAUACACGCACACAGCUCCACAAGCAGCCUCUCACGUGCAAUGCCACAAGCAGCCCCACACAUACACACACCACCAAACACACUAUGUAAAAUAUCAUCAACAUACACAAUUCCACAAGAAGCCCUCAUAGACGACCUGCAUUCAUAUGUAUCCUACACAAUACCACAAACUACUCAUGAACAUUUACAAUAUAUAAAACAGUCCACAUACGCACAAAUAUAAAGCUCUAAAGCAGGCUUCCCCAAACUCCGGCCCUCCAGAUGUUGCUGAACUACAACUCCCAUGAUUAUCAGCCUAUCUAUUACAUUCAUAGAAUAUUGGGAGUUGUAGUCCAGCAACAUCUGGAGGGCCAGAGUUUGGGGAAGCCUGCUCUAAAGCAACUGCAGCACCCAUAUUUAACACAAGCAGAAUAUGGAAACAAACACACCUCACUAAAAAAAACAACAAAAAAACAUAUAGGACUGGCACGCUAAGGGAGCUUGUUUUGGCACAGUAGUACUAGAAGGUUGCCUACCCCUGUGCUAGGGAGUAGAUGAAACUCGAUAUUAGUCCGCUUCUUAUCAUACUCCAAAAGAGAUAUAUUGACUAGUAUUGCCACCAAAUACGUAUCAACUCUCCAGUAUGAAAAUCGCAUCUCCAGCAUCUAUCAGAAAUAUUUUAAUGCAUUUUUGCUAAUCUACUUGGAGUUAAGUACCAUCUGUUCAUGAUCUAAUACUGUACCUCGGAUAAAUUGAGACAAUGUAAAUUCUUUGAAACAAUAGCUAUGGAUCUUUUCCAUUCGUCAUAACUUAUGUGUAUAUCUUUUCCCCGUUUAUUUAUUGUGAAACGGAUAAGAUUUUCAGAAUCUCUUU